rnacentral:rRNA from 1 species
AGAGUUUGAUCCUGGCUCAGGACGAACGCUGGCGGCGUGCCUAAUACAUGCAAGUCGAGCGGAUCGUUCCUUCGGGAACGGUUAGCGGCGGACGGGUGAGUAACACGUAGGCAACCUGCCUGUAAGAUCGGGAUAACUACCGGAAACGGUAGCUAAGACCGGAUACGUGGUUUCCUUGCAUGAGGAGAUCAAGAAACACGGGGCAACCUGUGGCUUACAGAUGGGCCUGCGGCGCAUUAGCUAGUAGGUGGGGUAACGGCUCACCUAGGCGACGAUGCGUAGCCGACCUGAGAGGGUGAUCGGCCACACUGGGACUGAGACACGGCCCAGACUCCUACGGGAGGCAGCAGUAGGGAAUCUUCCGCAAUGGACGCAAGUCUGACGGAGCAACGCCGCGUGAGUGAUGAAGGUUUUCGGAUCGUAAAGCUCUGUUGUCCUAGACGAACAGCGAGGAGAGUAACUGCUCUUCGUGUGACGGUAUAGGAGAAGAAAGCCCCGGCUAACUACGUGCCAGCAGCCGCGGUAAUACGUAGGGGGCAAGCGUUGUCCGGAAUUAUUGGGCGUAAAGCGCGCGCAGGCGGCUGUUUAAGUCUGAUGUUUAAGCCCGGGGCUCAACCCCGGUUCGCAUUGGAAACUGGACGGCUUGAGUGCAGGAGAGGAAAGCGGAAUUCCACGUGUAGCGGUGAAAUGCGUAGAGAUGUGGAGGAACACCAGUGGCGAAGGCGGCUUUCUGGCCUGUAACUGACGCUGA